GAAUAUAUAUACGUGAUGGGGUCGGAAACGCUUCCUUCUGGCCGUUACAGACAUCCACACAAAUUAACAUAAUGAUGGCCCAGUACCAUUUCAUUCACGCACCAGUAACGAACCGGAAGGAUUUUCGCUCAAUCUUAUUGAUCAAUCUAAGCCUUGCAUGACAUUGCUGCAAUACGAACACUCUGAGCUUCUAAAUCAACAAAAAAGCUCUAAUUAGUAGUACUAUUUUUUCGAAUUCUUCUCGAUGACUAUUCUUGCGUCUUGCGUCAGCGGCCUCGCUCAGUCUGAACUACUUUCUGGGAUCCGCGUCUAAGAAGCUUUUUAUUGGUGUCACGUGAUGGUGUUGAAUGAAUUCAACAUUAAAUGUAAAUAUUGUUUUUUAAUACUUAGAUCAUUCCUGUUAUUUAAAAGACUAUAAUAAAAUAUGCAUCAUUCAUAUAUAUGUAUAUAUAAUUUCUUAAAUAGAUACAUUUAAUCGUAAACGGUUUAUUAGCUAUUGUAAUGUCGUAGUACUUCAUGUUUUAAGUUUUGUGCCAAGAUUUUCUUAACCUAUUAAAAUACUGAACUUAAAAAAUAAACUAUAAAAACUUGUUAUUCUUUUUUACAUUAAAUAUGUAUUUAAUUUGCAUGGGGUAGUAGAUUUCGAUGUAGACUUUGCCGGUUACAGAUAGGAACUAGUAUUAUUUAAAAUCAACAUUUUUGCCAUAUAAACCUUCAAAUUUGCUUAAGCUUCUACAAAUAAAGUAAUACAUUCGUCUUCAUAUUUGAUAUACGAUGAAUGUGUGCACGCACACAUAUUAAAACCACUAUAUGGUAAUGUUAUGUGGUAAUUACUAUUUUCAGGCAAUUAAGUACAUUAAUAUUGUUGAAUCAUCGGUAGCACUAUAUGUGGUUUACAACAAUUUUCACGCUCAGCUGCAUACACUCGUUGUAAUUUAGGUUUUUUAUUUAAUAAAUACCAUCAGAAAGUGCCAAUUAUAAUGGAUUUGAAUUGACUUAACUUAGUAUUCGUUAUAAAGUCAUGAGAAAGAUCUCUAACGAUCUACACAUUCUAACGAAAAACCUGACGUAAGCAUUAUAUUGACAAUGUUGUUUAACUAAUUUUAAAAAAUUUCACAAAUCAAUUAUUUUAUAAUGAAGCUAAUACAAAAAGAUUCAAACUAUCUUAUUUAUUUUAGGUAUUUAUUUAGAAACUUGAAGAUAAUUAACAAAAGGUUAUUACCUUCAGUUUCCGUAGUAUUGCACAAAUAAUAAUUGAACGUUAUGAAAUAUAUAUUAAAUUUGUAAACUGACUUUGUGUAGAACAAAGGUGUAUUAA
rnacentral:sRNA from 1 species